GGGUGUCGGCCGGCCGGGUCUUCGCCGGCAAUAUAGGCGCCGAAAACCGUUACGAAUACACGGUAAUCGGCGAUGUGGUCAACGAGGCCGCGCGCCUGGCGGAUCUCGCCAAGACGUCGGAUCGGCGGAUCCUAUGUUCGGCGGCGGCCAUCGAACGCGCCGACGAGGACGAGCGGGCUCGCUGGGCGGAGUGCUAUUCCACCGUGCUACGCGGCCGCUCCGAAGCCACCCAUGUCUCGGCGCCCGCGGGCCCCGCUUGAUCGCGCUACUUCGAGACCUUCAGCGAUCCGAUCACCUGGUUGAGCAGUCCCGCCGAGGCUGCAUCACCGAUGGGCGUCGCACCCAGGAAGAUGGUGACCGGCUUGGUGUCGACCGCGAUGAUGACCACGGAGUCGCCCUUCACAUUGCGGGCGGGAUCGGCGAUCGUGACGUCGGCGUCCACC
rnacentral:tmRNA from 1 species